rnacentral:rRNA from 1 species
UACAGAGGUGGCAAGCGUUGUUCGGAAUUACUGGGCGUAAAGGGCGCGUAGGCGGUUCGAUAAGUCCCGUGUGAAAUCCCUCGGCUCAACUGAGGAACUGCACGGGAAACUGACGGGCUUGAGUUCGGGAGAGGGGAAGCGGAAUUCCGGGUGGUAGCGGUGAAAUGCGUAGAUAUCCGGAGGAACACCGGUGGCGAAGGCGGCUUCCUGGACCGACACUGACGCUGAGGCGCGAAAGCUAGGGAGCAAACGGG